rfam:Salmo salar isolate Sally breed double haploid chromosome ssa20, whole genome shotgun sequence.
GAGUGAAAUUAUGGCAUAUCUUUCAGGACAGACCUGACUAUGGUGACCAAUUUAUACUGAACACUA